rnacentral:hammerhead_ribozyme from 1 species
AUCCAUCUGACGAGUCCGAAAUAGGACGAAACGCGUCAAACGGGAU